rnacentral:lncRNA from 1 species
CUCAACCUGGUGCAUAUCACGUGACUGUUCUGAUGCGUUUGUCCCGUCCUGCCCUUUUUCAGGUCAGCAGAUGUUAUUGCCUCCACCACCUGCAUAUGAGUCAACACCACACAGGAAACCUGCCAGUCGCCCAGAGCUGGAUGAGUCGAUUGUGACGCAAGCUCGGCCUGCCACUUCUUGGGACCCAGUUGAAGACCUCAUCGCACAGAGGGAGACCAUGGAGACGGAAAUGAGAGCCAUGAGGGCAUCCA